UUACGGUCAAAUCACGCUGAAAACACCGGUUCUCGUUCGAUCACCGAAGUUAAGGAAGGUCAGUACUUAGAUGGGGGACCGCUUGGGAACACCUGGUACUGUAAG